GUUGCAGCCAGGAAUGAGUGAGCACCAGCCUGGGAACAUUUAUUCAGCGAAGGUGGUGGAGGAUGGGCCCCUGCAGGCUGGUUUCCUACGUGAGGCUGAUGCUGUCAUGGUUUCCCUGAGGUCAGUGGGAGCUUGCUCUCACUCAAUGGAUUCUCCACACGGUCCCCACUCCCCGCGACACCUUGACUUUUGGACCAAGUCUAAACUCCAUAGUGUGGCUUAGAAGGCCCUUCACAGGAUGACUGACCCCUGUGGAACUACUCAGGAUUCUUUGUUGCAGCCAAGAAAAGCCAAUUCUUGUUGAUUAAGCAGAAAAGGAGUCUUUUUGGAAAGAUAUCAAGUAACUCAUAGAAUUGUCCAGAAGGCUAAGGAACUGGCUUGGAAAAACAACAGAAGCUCAGGGAGGAGAGAUAAAGACUUUGGGAGCAAAGAUGAGGUUCGGAGAAAGGUUUACUGUCAAGCAAGGAAUCUGAUCUGACCCAGAGAACUUCAGUUCUGGGGAUGAGGCCCUAAGAAUCCGGUCUCCGUCAGGAAAGCAGUCUGUGGGCUCUGGAGCGACCUGGGAUCUGGAGUACAGUUCUGUUGGACAGUGCUGCAAGGAUGGAGAGACUAUUAAGAUCACCUGACUACACCAUUUAAAAAAUUUUUUGAAUGAACUAUCUUUGUUUGUAAGCCCCAAAACAUGGUCUGAAGACUCAUUAGUGACCUGAUCAUACAGCUGACCUCUGAACAACAUGAGUUUGAACUGCGUGCGGGUCACUUAUAGGCAAGUGUUCAACUGCACGGGGCAGGAGCAGUUGGUGCCCAAUCUGCUAAUUGUUCAAAGGUAGAGUGUAGUUUUUAAAGACAAGUGAGGUAAUUUCUUUUAAAUCUCUAGGCUACUACAAUACAGAAUGCUGGGAAAUGAAUUAAUGUUAUGCUUACGUGUGCUUUUCAAAAUUCCCCUUGUGACUAAUGGGAUGUCACUCUGCAAAAACAUUGUUAGUUUCCCAUUGAUUCCACUGGUUUGAGUGUGUUUAAUGCCGAGGAAAGUGAGAGUUCUUUCGGAAGAUGGUAGGUUUUUGUCUUUUUGAGGUGGUUCAUUUACUUUGAGAAUCAUCAUUUUGUAUUUUUAAAACCAAGUCUUAUAUGCAAAAUUAUUGAACUGUGAGAAGAAAAG
rnacentral:lncRNA from 10 species